rnacentral:lncRNA from 12 species
ACAUUAACAUGUUACAUGUUAUUGCCCUCUUUUAUCUCUUCAUUUUCAGAAUUCUAAAACCAGACUAAUUGUCAAAGUAAUAAUAAACUUUUUGAUUUAAAAGCUCAAUUAACAGGAUUGUUUUUUUGUUUUGUUUUGUUUUUUUCGGGCAGUGGUUUUGUGUGUUUGUUAUAAACACCUGUCAAAAGCCCCGAUUGAAUAGCUAAAAUAGAUUUGAAUAUUUAGAAUAAUGUAUUAAUUCUGGUCCACAAAUUAUAAUUACAUUUAAAUAUAAUAUCUGUUGUGUAGACAAGUGAACAAAAUAAAACAUUCUCAUAAAUUCAGGCAAGAUAUAUUAGGUCAAUAAAAAGAAACCUACAGACUAAAGACUGUGUUCAGGAGAGCCCUGUACAUGCUCAAUUAUAUGUUUAUUAAUUAAAAAUUGUACAUAAUCAAUCUUUCAGGACUGAAUAAAAAAACUCUGUGGAUUCUGUACUGCGGCUGGGGGACAGUAUUCCUGACUAUGGCUGUGGUCUUCUCUGUUUGUUUACGCCAAGGUAAAGAGAGUGCAGUGCCUCCAGAAAUUUCGUCUGUAAUGUUUUACUCAGUGGAUCCCGUCAAUUUAGGGCUGGAUUUAAGUCCAACAAAAAAAUAACAAAUAAAGGUAAAAAGUAAAUGUGUGUAUUAUUUUUAAUUACAUUGUUUAUGUGAAACAUAUACAAUACAGUAGUCAAUCCUUGUGAAGACCACUCUCAUGUUUUCUUCAGACAAUCUUUCCUUUUUUUCAGGGCAUCACUGGAGAUUGUGUUAUUGAAAGGAAUGUAAAGAAAUGCUAGAGUAUUCCAAAACAACUAAAAAGUCAAUUAAACUGAAAUUUGCAUUCUCCUAAUGCUGUUUAUGAUGGUAAUGACAUACUUUAUUCUAGGAUUCGACUGUCUUUUGUGUUCUGUGGGUGAACAUGCAUCUUUCAAACUUUCAAAAUUAUAUGAAUAAUCUACUAUAUAUUAUUGUUGUUUGAUUAUGUCUCCUCUUAGUCUCAAAUAAAGUUAUUUUUUGCUUUUACACAUUUAGAAUCAAAAUUGCCUUCUUUGAGGUGCUACUGUACAUGUGAAUAUGCACAAAUGAGAUUUGAGAGCUACAGCGUUGAACAAGAUUUUCAGUGAAAAACAAUUUAAUUCCCUCUGUUUCUUAUAGCGGUUUAUGCAAUAACUCUUUGGAUUUGGAAACACUAUUCACUAUUAACUAGUUGCUUAUUAGGAUUUUAUUGAGGGAAAGUGAAUAUGUGUUCCCUAAUAUAUUACCAUUUAUACUUAACAUAUAGAAAACAAGAGGCUUGUUUUGUAUAUUGCAGCUGAAGACACUUUGUUGUUGUUGUUGUUGUUCUCUCUCUCUCUCUCCCUUAUGUAAUGAUGUUUUGGGUAUUUUUGAUACUUUCCAUGCGGAAACUUGUGCAAAAGUUGAGGAGGGCCCCCUUGAGCUGAUGACCACAGACUUUUAACAUCAGGUUCUGGUGAUUUAUUAGCUAGAAAUAUGGGCCCUAACAUCGGAAAUAGCCAUUCAUAGAUUAGAAAUUGGCUGCGGCACGGCAGCACCAACUAGUCAAAAAUUACUUUCGAGAAAAACGCUCCCUCUAAAAUUUCUAAUUUCUAUAACUAUUAUGAAGUGGCGCAUUUACAAUAAUAUCCCACCUGUGGCUACAAGGCUCCAGAUAAUCUGCAUAAAUAUCUUCCUUGCCUCCUCCACUCACAUGGCGAUGAUUUUCUGAAGCCGUGUAGCUUUCAGAACCAAUAUUCCACCUGAGACCAUGACCAUCUGCCAAUAACAUUUGCAAAAUG